CCUACGGGUGGCAGCAGUGGGGAAUAUUGCGCAAUGGGCGAAAGCCUGACGCAGCGACGCCGCGUGAGGGAUGAAGGUCUUCGGAUCGUAAACCUCUGUCAGCAGGGAAGAACGGUCACUGUGUUAAUCAGCAGUGAAUUGACGGUACCUGCAAAGGAAGCACCGGCUAACUCCGUGCCAGCAGCCGCGGUAAUACGGAGGGUGCGAGCGUUAAUCGGAAUUACUGGGCGUAAAGCGCGCGUAGGCGGUAUGUCAAGUCAAGGGUGAAAUCCCCGCGCUCAACGUGGGAACUGCCUUUGAGACUGGCAGACUGGAGUGUGUGAGAGGAUAGUGGAAUUCCAGGUGUAGGAGUGAAAUCCGUAGAUAUCUGGAGGAACAUCAGUGGCGAAGGCGACUAUCUGGCACAUAACUGACGCUGAGGAGCGAAAGCGUGGGUAGCAAACAGGAUUAGAUACCCUGGUAGUC
rnacentral:rRNA from 1 species